UUUGCUGUCUUCCACUGCCAUGAACUGUUGCCCCUCUGUCACUCUGUCUUGGAGCCAACAGAUUAUGGACGAAACCUCUACAAACUUCUCUGAUAUGACACCUGGAAUUUCAGCAGCCAUUAUGUGCCCAUUGUGGAGCCAUCUUGACGGAAGAACUGACACUGAAAAGUGAAGUGGUAGGAAAAACCCAACACCUUGAUGAUAUUGUUGAGGCCCUGGAUUAACUAUCUUAGGUCUCACUCCAUUUUGGAUUUUCUGUUGUAUGAAGUGAAAAAUGCCUUUAGUGUUGAAGUUACUUUGAUUCAGAUUUUCUGUUGUUUUGCAUCUCAAGUUAUCCUAACUGACAUAUACUUCAAUAUGAAUGUAUGUAGCCCAGGGAGUUUCUCCAAGUUCUCUUCUAUUCACAAAGGAAGCUUCUAUCUAAAACUUGAGAAAAUAGAGAGAUGCAGAGCUGAGGAGAGAGAUGAGAAAUACAUCCAAGUGACAAUAGCUCAGAUACAUGAGACAACACAUUUGCUUUCCUUUUGUCCAUUAAAGUUGGGGUGUUUGCCCCUUGUAACAAAAAGUGAUCUUACUGAUACAGAUGGAAUAGGAAUGGAGCCCCCAGCACAAGAAAGUCAUCUUAGAGCAAACAAGAGAUAUAAGUACUUUGGAUGCCAGUAUACUCAAAUUAAUUUGAACCCUGUGGCUGUUUCUAUACUGGCAAACAAAGCAGAAUGAAGCACUACACAAACCCCCUACCUUUCCCAAAUAUAACAAAAUAUUUUUGCCUCGAGUAUUAAUAAAAUUAAGGAAAGUAUGGGCACAAGUUUUGUCACUUGUCACAAUUUCAUACUCCAUUGAAUCAUUGUAGGUAUUACCUGUAUGUUCCAUAUAGAUACUUGAUUGUAUUAGAUCAUAUUGGAUCCAUAAAAGUAAAGAGUUAAAAGGAAACUUAUAUAAAUCUCUUUCAAAUUUCUCAUUUUACAAAGUAGGAAAUGGAAGCCUAAAGAGAGAAGUGAUCACCAAGGUCACAUAGUUAGAGUGGCAGAGACACGGCCAGAAGCUUCAUCUCCUGACCGUCCUAUCCCUGCUCAUCCUCCCUCACCUCCCCAGUAUGAUAUUGGGUCUCAGUUUCUGAAUGGUCCAUGCAGAGACUGAAGAUUUGUCCUGGUUUUCCUGCACUGCUAGAAGUCACUAUCAUAGUACUCAAAAAUCAUCCCAGGCAGUGGAACCCAGAAGGAAACAUAUUUUAAACUCUUCUUCCUGGAGAAACUGUGUCUCCAGGCAAGGGAGCCCCUGUGAUGGGCAGAACCACUGUCCUCAGCGGGGACAGAUGGACGGUCCGGAGUGGCUGGUCUGGCAGCCUGCUCUCCUUCAAGCUGAGUAAAGCCAGCUGGAUUUUGAAAGGGCAGAAUAACCAGAGUCAGCACAAUAGGAGAAUGGGCCCUCCCAGUGGCAGAAGCCAUAGAAUCUUUUGUGCCACCAAAAAGUCAAUCCAGAUUUAAGGCUGACACACAGGUGGGGUGGGUGGGCCUCUGUGAUUUGAUGGGCUCUCCGAGGCUCUGCCUGCCUAAAAAUAUUUCCACUGCCCACCUGCCUAGGACACCCUCCUUUCUUAUCAGGCCUGAAAUUCCUACCACUUGUGUCACUAUGGUUUUCGAUGACAAAGGAUGGGACAUGUUUCCCAGCAGGUCACCAUUAAAGCAGAUUUCCAGGGAGUAGAAGGGAGGCCCUGGAGUAUGCCCCUUUUAGCACAAAGAGCUAAUACUGUCAGAAGCCCAGGGAAGACAGGAGUGGCCUGCUUUACAAUUUUUCCUCCUGUUGAGACACCAGUCACUCAAUUCAUUCAUGCCCCUAUGACCAGGACCUUGAAGAAAUUAGGCAGCAGCCUUCAAAGAAAAUAAAAUAGUGGCCCUGUAAGUAAAGGAGCAGAUUCUGCCUCUCUUCUGCAGUCCAAUCUAGGUUUGGCUUCUUCCCUCUGUGGGAAUCUGGGUCUGAGUUGGAGAGCUUUUCCUCAUGCAUGGGGUAGCAAGAUAUCAGAAUGCUCCCAGAUUUCAGUGGGCCACAUCUAAGUGUCAUUGUUUCUCCCCAAAUUCUUCCCCACUUCCUCAUACCCAUUGGGCAAUUCCAGAAGGAAAUUUAAAAACCAGAUGUGUUAGGACCUGGCAUGCUAUUGAGAAGUAGAGAAAUGAAAUACUGGGAGGUAUGGGAGGGCAUAGGGGGCAUUCACAACCCUGUUGAUUGGUUUUGUCCACCCCAUUCCAACAGGUGGGAGCCUGGGCCGAGGUCUGUCAGAGGCUGGAGCAAGGGAGAGAUAUUGACAGGGUGGGUCACAGGGGAACAGUCACUAACAGGAAGGGCCUGCCAAGCAGCAGAGUAAUUAAUGAUCUUGGGCUUGGAGAGCAGACAAUGGCCAGAGGAGGGGAGGAUAGUGUCGAUGGGGUGGGGAUUGUGCUGAGAAUUUAUAAGCUCUGGUGUGAAGGGGAAGCUGACUGAAUAUUUAAGAAUAUAGUUGGCAUAGGACUGACUUAUCAGGUAGAAUCAAGGUGGUACCUUGAUUUGGGUCAGGUCAUUCUUUCAUUUAUUAACAAGGUACACAUGGAUAAGACUGAAGAACUCAGUUGAAGGGACUGAUUAAUGUCAGAUUGUUUUGUGAUUAUCUUAUCUGAGGCAGACAUACCUUGGAGGGGGUGGCUUGCCCUUGAAGCAAAUAGAUAGUCUCACUGUCAGUUACCUUGACAAGAAUUUAAUUUGAUGAUGGCCAUAAGGAGAGAAAGAGGACAAGUUUCCCCAAAGUAGGGCAUCUCUCCAGCUUGGGUCCCUAGGCCAAGAUAACCCUGGGAUAUUUCCAGUGUGAGUGCACAUUAGGGCAACAGAAGGGCUAUCUUUUGUCACAUGUGGGCAUCUAGGAGCCGGACACAAAACAGAUCCUGAGGAUGGAUCCUGAUAUGAAGAAGAGAGUUUGGCAAUGCUCAGUUUUCAUAAAUAUCUUUCAUUUACCUCAGACUGAGAGAAAAUUCUCCUUAAAAUCUCAGCCAAGUCUCAGUGACAGUGUAACGGCUGAGGUGAAAGACUGACACCUACUCAGGACCAAGCAGCAGAGCAGUGAGCAGCACCCACUCUUUGAGGCCAGGGAAGUAGAAUCAGUGGCAAUGAGAGGGCAGCCAUACCCAGGAGGACUGUCAAGAAGGUCAUGGACGAGGCAGUGUCUGAGAGACAAGGUGAUGAGGAAUACCCUUGUGACCUUGUUCCCAGACAUGUGUGAAGCAGCACUCUGAGAAGCCCUGUAAAAUGGUUUGAGGCUCUCAGAGAUCAAGAGUCUCAGCUCAGGUCACUGCGACUUGAUGUGUUUUCUCUUAUAUGUCCAAUGUGCCCCAAAGGGCCUGGGAUUGUGUUGGGCUUAGGGACCGAGAUGGGUUACACAUGAUCCUUCCUCCAGGGACCUUUUCUUCUAAGUAAUUGCCCGGUCCUUGCAGGCAUCUGGAACCAGAGUCCCCUGUGUCCUGGAUGUGGAGGUUCUGCUUGCUUUCCUGUGCAUCAUUUGUGUUACCAAGUCCACAGCUCAGCCUUAGGAACCAGAGGUUUAUAAGGUUCAAGAGUUUCUGGCUCACCCCUUGGGUUUCACGAACUUAGAGACACUUAGUGGUAGGAUCUGGUAGGUCAGAGGGUUCCAGACCUCUCUCUUGGCAAAAAGGGACACGUUCUGCAAACUGAUACAGGAGCAUCACACUUGUUCAGAGGUUGACAAAAGGAGGCAGCUCAGACAUCAGGAUUCAAGCCCUAAUUCUAGCUCUGGAAUCCGGGGCGUAUUACUGAACUUCUCAAGGCCUCCAUGUUCUUUUCUAUAAAAUGGGGACAAUAGUGACAUCUACUCACAGGGAGUCUGUUGAAGAUUAAAUGAAGAAAAUCAGUUUCAAGGAUUUAGUUCUGCAUAUGGCACAUUAAAAAUGUUCCAUGGAUUUAAAUUAUAAAAAGAAAGAUUUUUUUCUCAAAAUCUGUUGGAGUUAAGGAUGAUUUGCCUUUUUGCUCUGCCUCAAAGUAUAUGUCAACUAUAAACCCUGCUGUAUUUAGUAGCAUCAGUAAUUACCAAUUGAUGAGGAUAUGCUUGUUGAAGCUCUUGAGUCUCCCAUUUCCUGCAACUCUAGUGUAUCUCACAGAAUAUUACAGCCAAAAGGUAGCAUUCCAUUUGUUUACUAUUGGGCCGGGGAUUUAGCUCAGUGGUUCCGGCGCCUGCCUUGCAACCGCAAGGUCCCAAGUUCAAUCCCCAGUACCAAAAAAAGAAAAACAAACAACCAUUUGUUUACUAUUAUAUAACAAAUUACACUAAAAUUUAGUGUCCUAAAACAACAAUUGUAUAUAUUAUAUCUGAUGAGUUUAUGGGUCAAGAAUUUGGGCAAGGCUCAGCUGUUUGAUUCUUCUGUUCCACGAACUAACUGUUGACAGAGAAUACUUGGUCAAACUCAGUUGGUAGAUAGACGGGGAUGGAGAGUCCAGGAGGGCUUCACUCACAUUUCUGAUGACUUGGUGCAUAUGGUUGGAAUUCUGGGCUCAGCUGAGAUGGUCAAGUGCUUACACAUAAUCCCUCUAGCAUGGUAGUUUAAAGUAGUCAGGCUUAUUACAUGGACAAUAGGGACUAGCUUCAGAAUUCCCAGGAAAUCAGGCCUAUUACAUUCUAUUAGUCAAUCAAGGUACCAAGUCACAUCCCAGUUUCAAGAGAAAGGAAGUAAACUCCCAAAGGGUCCAGUUGCAAAGAAUUUGUAGCCAUCAUUUAAUGUAACAGUGACAAAAGGAGCAUACAGAUCAAUAUUUUUAAUGCUAAAAAAAAACUCUGGGGGAGCAGGAAUAAAAGUAAUAUCCAUGAUUAUUUGUCUCCUCUAAGAAUGGAGAAACUCUUGAAAGAAACCAGAAAGUCACAUGUUGAUAGAACUUAAAAUUCUGUAUUUUGGAAACCAUUGUAAACAAAGCUAAAGCAGGAAGAUUGGGAGUCCGAGGCCAGUCUCGGCUACAUAGUGAGUUCAAGGCAAGCCUGGACUACAUAACCAAACCCUGUCUCAAGAAAAAUUAUAAACAAAAUAAAACAUGUCAACCCAAGAGCUGGGGAUGUAGCUCUGUGAUAGAACACUUGCCUAGCAUGUGCAAGGUCCUGGGUUCAACCCCCAUCACUUCAAAACAAACAAACAACUUGUUGACAUGAAAAGAAACUCAGAGACAGAUUCUCCAAAGGAAAGAGUUUAUUCAGGGGUGAGUGAUAGAAGAUUGUAAUCUGGGGGACUUGUGCUGUGGUAUACCAUGUAGGGGGAUAUAGGAUUAGCCUAGGAGGCAGAGGAAAGCUAGGGUUCUUACAGGCAAAAUGAGGAGGAUCACAUAAAUUGUUUUGAAACAAAGAGAACAUUGGUUACAGAGGAUUGUUACCAGGGUUGAUGUCAGUACAUUAUUAGAAAUAGCAUGUCAGGCAAGAGUCCUUGUACACCCAGCCAGCUAUCCUUGACUAAGGCUGCAGGUGGGUGGGUUCUCUUGUGCUAGCUCCUGUUAUGAAGCAACUGGUGGGUGAGGAGAACGUUCCCUUCAUGGCUUCUGGUUCUGUUCAGUUUAGCCUGACAAAGGUGAGUCCAUUUUGAUUCUGACAAUUUCACAAGCUUACACCAUUAAAUAGACAGCUAUAAUAUAUAAGAGGUUAAUACCACUAAGGUAGAGAAUGAAUGUAAAUGAAUAAGAAAAAAUAAAUUCAAAGGAAAAAUUAGGCAAAGCAAAUGAACAAAUAAUUCCCUAAGCAAGAAUUGCAUUAAUAAAUAUGGAGGAUAAUCCAUCCUCUUUCCAAAAAUAGAAAUGAAAACCAUUACAAGAUAGUUUUUAAUCUCUUCAACUCAGGCUGACCAAAAAUUACUAGAUACUAUAGUUCUGAGUUCUAUCCCUGGUGCUGCAAAAAGAAAACAAAAACCUAGAUAGUAGCAAAGAGUCUGAGAGAAGGUAUUCUCAACAUUUGAUUAAUGUAUAGUCAAAACCCUUUUAAAUGUUAUAUUUUUUGAUCCUCUUAUUCCAUUUGAAAGAAUUUAUUAUAAGAAAAUAAUUUAGAAACAAAGAUAUUUAUUUUAGUAUUACCCAAAAUAAUGAUACCAAAAAACUCAAAGAAAUCUAGCAAUUAAGGAUUGCAUAAAUAAAUUAUAUUUUCACAUAGGGCAAUGCUAUGCAACCAUUAAAAACAUGUGUCUUGACAUAGAAAAUUUUUCAUAAUAUAUCAGAGGAAAAUUAUGUAAUGUGAUUCUUGUCCUGCAAGAAAAAAAUACAUAUUUACAUUGGAAACAACCUUGGUGCUAGACAAAUGUCAUUGCUCCUACUACUCAUAACUACUUGAAGGUACAAAAUUGAUGACUAUUUCAAUGGGAUUGCCACAGGUUGAAUCUGUCCCCCCAAAAGAUGCAGAAGUCCUAACUCCCAGUUCCUGUGAAUGUGACUUUGUUUAGAAAUAGGGUCUUUGCAGUUCAAUGAAGAAGAGGUGAUGGCAGGAGGGCUAAUCCUAUGUCACUGGAGCCAUUAUAAAAAAUAAAAUCUGAGCAGAGAUAAACACAGGAGGAAUGCCUCAUGAAGAUAAAGACAGAGAUCAAGGAGCUGCUACAGAUGCCAAGAAAACCAAAGAGUGCCAGAAAACCAUCAAAAGCUAGCAAAGUCUCCCUCCUAGCAGGAAUCAACUUUGCUAAUAUGUUGAUCUCAUAUUUCUGCUUCCAGAACCAAGAGAUAACAAAAAUAAAUAUCUGUUGCUUGAGCCACCCAGCUUUUGGUACUUUAUGAUAGCUCUAGAAACUCAUUUAUGACCUUGUCCAGAAUGCCUGGCCUGUGCUGGGACAAUCAGAAUCUUCUUGGAGCUGUGAACUGAACCAUGAAAGCUUGGGCCAGUGAAAUGGAGAAACCAUGGUAGUCCCAAGGCAGACAUGGUGACUGGAGGUGAACUAAUGAAUGAGCAAAAGAAUCAGCAGAGAGCAGAUUGGAACUGAUGAAAGUGGAAGUGAGAUAGGAGGAAGCUCCCAAGGACCCAUGAGCCAGAGACAGCACUUUAGUGUCUGCUGAUAAUUAGUUCCCUUGAUGCCCACAGGGAGUAUGCACCUCGGGGGGUUCCCUGAAGUCCUCUGCAGCCUUUGAUAAAUAUCUACUUUGUCUGGGUGGGCCAGAGUGGAUCUCCACUACUUGCAAUUCAAAGGUGAGUUUGGUGAAAGCAUCAGGAAGGAAAGGCAGUAGAAUGUUGGUAUUGGGUCUUUCCAAGAUGGGAGUUCUUAUUUCAUCCUAAGACAUACCAUACUUCUAAAAUUUUUCUACAAGGAAACCAUAUGUUUAGUGUUUUAAGCUAACUCUAUUAACUCAUUUAUUCACUUAUCUAAGAAAUCAUUGUUGAAAGCCUCCUAUGUGCUAAACACUAUUCUGGACCCUAAGGAAUCAAUGAACAGAACCCACAAAAACCUUUGUUCUCAUGGAGCUGAUGAUGAAGAAGGUGGACAAGUAAAAUACAUAGUGUGUUAACUGGUGAGCCAGGUUAUGGAGAGAGGGACAGAACUGCCAGGUGAGGAGAAGGGUUUAAUUCUAAAGAAGGUGAGAUUUGAACCAAAACUUGGAGGCAGGAGGAGCGAGUUAUUUAAAGUAUCUGAGAGAAAAAUAGUUCAGGCAGAGGGACCAACAAAGACAACAUGUCUGGUGUGUUCCAGGAAAAGCAGGGUACUCAGUGAAUGGUGGCAGGAUGAAAGAAAGAGAUAGCUAUGUGUGUUGGUGCACACCUGUAAAUCCCAGUGCAAAGGAGGCUGAGCCUGGAGGAUGUAGAGUUCAAAGCAAGUCUGGGCUACAUAGCAAAUUCUAAGACAGCCUGGUAAAGCAAGACCUUGAGUCAUUCUGAGGAGUUGGGCCUUUGGAUAUUUUUAUCUGUUGGCAUGUUACAAUGCAAAACAUGGUGGCUUAAAGCAACAGAAAGCAUUUGUUACCUCAUAGUUUCAGUGCCUCAGGGUCUCUCGUGAGAUUGUAAUCAUGAUGUUGGAAAGGGCCUGUCUUCAUCUGAGGGCUCUGCUUCGAAGGGCACAACUCACUCCAGUGCCUAGCAGGUUGGUUGGUAUAGGAAGUCCAUAGGAGCCUCCAGUCUCCCCACGUGGCCCCCCACAGGGCUGCAUGGAAGACUCCACCCUUAGCCAGUCUUUCCUCCUCAGUGAGUGGCCCCAGAGAGAACAAGCAGGAAGCCUCCAUGGCUUUUAUGACACGGCUUUAAGAAUAACACUCCAUAUACAAUGUUUUGCAAUAUCGUACGGGUUAUACAAGUCAGUCAUCGCCAAUAUGGGAGGGGACUAAACAAGAAUGGGAAUACCAAGCAGCAAGUGUUGUGGGGGCCCCUUUGAGACUGGCUGUCCCAGUUACCCUACUUAAACAAUGGUGUUCAAUAUAUGCAGAGAUGAUUUGCUAAGUUCAACUGCAUCUCCUUUUGCAGGGAAUAUCUAAAUGCAAUAAAAUUCAGGAACUUCUCCAAUUUUGACUUCUAAGAAACUUAAUCUACUUUGGACUCUGAUCGCCAAGAAAAUAAAAACAAAACAAGCCAAAAAAGCCAAUAAAUAAAUAAACAAAUCAAUAAAUCAAUAACCAUUUUGAUAUCAUAUCCCAAAGAAUGAACAAAAGCUCCUUUGCAUCAUUAUCCAUUCAAAUUCAAAAUUCCUUGGCUGUGUCAGGCUUUUUUUCCUUUGCUUUUUCCACUUAACUUAGUUUGCUUCACAUGUUAGUUUUCAGCCUGGCCCAGAACCACUCCCUAGGAGGCCUCUUGGGAACAUGUGGAGUGUUCUGUUGCCUGGGGAUGUGCAGGGUGAUCACUCCUAGCCAGCAGAGGAUCAAACCCCCUGGCAGCUCCAUCUUUUGCAGUCUGUGAGAUAACUGCACAUGAUUUGACUCAGGCUCCAAGCAACUUUCAAAUGUCCCACCAGAUAUUUGUAGAUAUGAAAAAACUGAGCUUUAGAGUGUAUUUUAUAUGUACCCAGAGUUUGAGGAUGAGAAUGAGCCAAAAACUUGAACACCCGAGAUGAGGCCUUUAUUAGGGAACGGGGUACUGGGCUGCCUCAAACAAUGGCGAGAGCAGCGGCCAGGGGCUGGCUAGGCGACCUCGUAUAUGGGCAAAGGGGCAUGGGGGUGCAUAGCAGAGGUAGAUGUUUGGCUGCAGCCAGAGGUUACGUUUAAGUCCAUUGGCAAGUUUGACUUUCUCGGUGGGAAGGACUGUAAGCUGGAGAGCUCCCUGGCGGGAAAGUUAGGUUAUUAUUUCCUGAGUGAUUUAUUAUUUGCAGGGAAGAGGCAUUUAGGAGGUGGGGCUGCCAGAGCCAUUUUAUCUAGCAGAGAACUCUAUCACAGAGUACUUUUUAGAAGUGAUUUUUAUUAAAUAUGAUGUAAACAAUAAGAACGAAAGCUCUAGGCGGGAUCACAUGCCUGUGAUCUGAGUACUCAGGAAGCUGAUGCAGGAG
ensembl:lncRNA